GGGGAUUUAGCUCAGUGGUAGAGUCCUUGCCUAGCAAGCACAAGGCCCUGGGUUCGGUCCCCAGCUCCG
rfam:Rattus norvegicus chromosome 6, whole genome shotgun sequence.